rnacentral:rRNA from 1 species
AACGCGAAGAACCUUACCUGGGCUUGAACCGCACAGGACCAGCUUGAGAAAUCAGGCCUUCCCGCAAGGGACCUGUGUAGAGGUGCUGCAUGGCUGUCGUCAGCUCGUGCCGUGAGGUGUUGGGUUAAGUCCCGCAACGAGCGCAACCCUUACUCAUAGUUGCUACCCGCAAGGGAGAACUCUAUGAGGACUGCUCCGGAUAACGGAGAGGAAGGUGGGGAUGAGGUCAAGUCAGCAUGGCCUUUAUGUCCAGGGCUACACACGUGUUACAAUGCGCGCCACAAAGCGUCGCGAACCCGCGAGGGGGAGCUAAUCGCAAAAAAGCGCGCUCAGUUCGGAUUGCAGUCUGCAACUCGACUGCAUGAAGCCGGAAUCGCUAGUAAUGGCGCAUCAGAACGGCGCCGUGAAUACGUUCCCGGGCCUUGUACACACCGAGACGAC